GUCUCUUCUUCACAGAGUGGGUGUCUGAUGCUGAAAACUGCAGUUAUGCUGAUUAUUCUUCAGCUUACAAGAAAAUUUUUGAACACCUUGGCUUCGACAAAAAUAACAUUCUGAAGACAGACAUGCGGCCUGUAUAUUGGAGCCCUACUACCUCUGUUUAUGUGGACCUAUAUGUGACCUCCAUCAUAGAUGUGGUAUGAGUCCAGCAUGAUUGAUCUUCUCAUACAGAUUGUAAUGUCAAACAUUUGUAUUAUCAUCAUUAAACAAUUUCUCUACAGAAUGAAAAAGCCCAGAGCAUCACAACACAGGUCAAAAUGAUAACUGUUUGGUUUAAUGACCUGUUCUGGUGGUUCGAAGACUUUUGUGGAAUUCAAACAAUACCAGUGAAAAAAGAUAAGCUUUGGACGCCAGACAUUCUUGUCAAAGAAAGCAUCAAGACAGAGUUUGGAACAAAGGAGUCUCCAUAUGUGCAGUUAAUCUGGUGGGAAAUGUCAGUUUCAGUUGACAUUUUAGCUCUGACCACUGCUUGUAAAAUGGACCUUUACAGAUUUCCCUUUGACACCCAAAUCUGCAAAAUAACACUUCACUCUGCAGUUCAUACAAGUAAAUCUACAAUCCAGGACAGACAAACGAAACAAGUUUAAUAAAAAAAGAACUGAUUGAAUUUAUAAUGAUGUGGAUCAUUUAUUUAUAUUUUCUAGAGGAGGAGCUUGAAAUUAAUCCAAUCUCUAAUAAUGAAAGCCUUCUCCUUGAGUCAAAGGAGUUAUUUCAGGCCCAGGGAGAGUGGGAACUCCUCAGUAUAGAUAUUUCUGAUUAUACAACCAAUCUUCUAUGGA